rnacentral:rRNA from 1 species
UACGUAGGGUGCGAGCGUUGUCCGGAAUUAUUGGGCGUAAAGAGCUCGUAGGCGGUUUGUCGCGUCUGCUGUGAAAACCCGAGGCUCAACCUCGGGCCUGCAGUGGGUACGGGCAGACUAGAGUGCGGUAGGGGAGAUUGGAAUUCCUGGUGUAGCGGUGGAAUGCGCAGAUAUCAGGAGGAACACCAAUGGCGAAGGCAGAUCUCUGGGCCAUUACUGACGCUGAGGAGCGAAAGCGUGGGGAGCGAACAGG